GCCUACCGAAUCCUGAAAAAUGGGUUCUUGGGAAAGCGUGGUAGGGGAGGUGCGAAGCCUGAUAGAGGCAGAAGCCGGGCCACCGGAACUAUCUAGUUGAGUGUGUCGAUUGAAAGAGGAGGGGAGACAACUCAAAUGCCAGCGAAAAAAUAGAAGGUGUUCAAAGUUGAAUUCUUCUAAGAUCCAUUGCUCGAUUUUGCAUGCUCUGCUCCCAAAAUGCAUAGAGACUUGCGAGGGCAGAUCCGGGUUGGUUCAAAUGAUGAGAGAAGCAGGCUAAGUUAAAUAUAAUAAUGUGCUAC
rnacentral:lncRNA from 1 species